rnacentral:rRNA from 1 species
GACGAACGCUGGCGGCGUGCUUAACACAUGCAAGUCGAACGGAAAGGCCCUGCUUUUGUGGGGUGCUCGAGUGGCGAACGGGUGAGUAACACGUGAGUAACCUGCCCUUGACUUUGGGAUAACUUCAGGAAACUGGGGCUAAUACCGGAUAGGAGCUCCUGCUGCAUGGUGGGGGUUGGAAAGUUUCGGCGGUUGGGGAUGGACUCGCGGCUUAUCAGCUUGUUGGUGGGGUAGUGGCUUACCAAGGCUUUGACGGGUAGCCGGCCUGAGAGGGUGACCGGCCACAUUGGGACUGAGAGACGGACCAGACUCCUACGGGAGGCAAAAGGGGGAAAUAUUGCACAGUGAGCGGAAGCCUGAUGCAGCAACGCCGCGUGCGGGAUGACGGCCUUCGGGGUGUAAACCGCUUUCGCCUGUGACGAAGCGUGAGUGACGGUAAUGGGUAAAGAAGCACCGGCUAACUACGUG